rnacentral:rRNA from 1 species
AGUUGGAAACGACUGCUAAUUCCGGAUGAGCCGAAAGGUAAAAAGAAAUUCGCCUGGAGAUGAGCUUGCGGCUGAUUAGCUAGUUGGUAGGGUAAGAGCCUACCAAGGCGACGAUCAGUAGCUGGUCUGAGAGGAUGAGCAGCCACACUGGGACUGAGACACGGCCCAGACUCCUACGGGAGGCAGCAGUGGGGAAUUUUCCGCAAUGGGCGAAAGCCUGACGGAGCAAGACCGCGUGGGGGAGGAAGGUUCUUGGAUUGUCAACCCCUUUUCUCAGGGAAGAAGAUCUGACGGUACCUGAGGAAUCAGCAUCGGCUAACUCCGUGCCAGCAGCCGCGGUAAUACGGAGGAUGCAAGCGUUAUCCGGAAUGAUUGGGCGUAAAGAGUCCGUAGGUGGCGAGUCAAGUCGAUUGUCAAAGAGCGAGGCUUAACUUCGUGAAGGCAGUGGAAACUGACUAGCUAGAGAGCAGUAGGGGCAGAAGGAAUUCCUGGUGUAGCGGUGAAAUGCGUAGAGAUCAGGAAGAACACCGGUGGCGAAAGCGUUCUGCUGGGCUGCGACUGACACUGAGGGACGAAAGC